CCUACGGGGGGCUGCAGUAAGGAAUAUUGGUCAAUGGACGAAAGUCUGAACCAGCCAUGCCGCGUGGAGGAUGAAGGUCCUCUGGAUUGUAAACCUCUUUUAUAUGGGACGAAAAAAGGCCUUUCUAGGCCGUCUGACGGUACCAUAUGAAUAAGCACCGGCUAACUCCGUGCCAGCAGCCGCGGUAAUACGGAGGGUGCAAGCUUAAUCCGGAUUCACUGGGUGUAGGGGGUGUGUUGGUGGGGUGAUGAAAUCUCCGAGCUUAACUUGGAAACUGCCAUUGAUACUAUUAAUCUUGACUAUUGUGGAGGUUAGCGGAAUAUGUCAUGUAGCGGUGAAAUGCUUAGAUAUGACAUAGAACACCAAUUGCGAAGGCAGCUGGCUACACAUAUAUUGACACUGAGGCACGAAAGCGUGGGGAUCAAACAGGAUUAGAUACCCCUGUAGUC
rnacentral:rRNA from 1 species